AAUAGCUUACCAUCCCACCAGUAGAAGCCAUUGUACUUACGGGGAUCGUACUGAAAUCAACAGAAGCGAAAGCUCAAUUACGUGUUAAACUGUUUUUUUUUAAUCUGAGUGUUAACACAGCAUUUAAGCAGCAUUAUAGAUUUGAACAGUGAAAAUAAAGCGUGUUGUCGCGGAAGGAAAACAAGACCUUUGCACAGCCCGAACGACGACUGUAUUUUUCACCAGGGACGUUAACGUUACGUUUGGCGGAGGAAUUCAACGGACGUUGGUAGACGGCGGAAGAGGAAAAGCCGCCGCCGAAUUCCGUACAAAUUUCAUAUUUCCUCUAGAUAUCUUUGUUUUACAGUCCGUGCUUGGCUUUUCUCUUAGGUCUGUGCCCUUAUUUAGAUGGCAAGCUUCCCAGACUCUAUAAACCAAAAUGAUAUAGGUAAGGCAAAGUUCAUCGGUGAACUCGUGGUGCCUGUUGCUCCCUUCGACCAGAAGUGUGGGCGCGAGGCUUGGACAGUAGCUUUUGCACCCAAUGGUUCCUACUUUGCUUGGUCUCAGGGGCAUCGCAUUGUCAGGCUCAUUCCCUUGGCAAAAUGUCUGAAGAGCUUUUCUGUGGGCAAAGCUGGAGAGUCCACCAAUGCCUCGAGCCCGGGUUGUUUGUCUCGUCAGAACAGCGGCGGAGGCCAGGUAAUCCCGGCUGCCGACGAGCCCCGCGAACACACCAUCGACUGCGGUGACACCGUCUGGGGCCUGGCCUUUGGCUCCUCGGUGCCGGAGAAGCAGAGCCGCUGUGUUAACAUCGAGUGGCACCGCUUCAGGUUCGGUCAGGACCAGCUGCUUCUGGCAACAGGCCUCAACAAUGGUCGCAUCAAGAUCUGGGAUGUUUACACUGGAAAACUGUUGCUGAAUCUGAUGGACCAUACUGAUGUGGUGCGAGACUUGACCUUUGCUCCUGAUGGCAGUCUUGUGCUGGUCUCUGCAUCCAGAGAUAAGACCCUCCGUGUGUGGGACCUUAAAGAUGAUGGUAACAUGGUGAAGGUUCUGCGGGGGCAUCAGAACUGGGUGUACUGCAGCGCCUUCUCCCCUGACUCGUCCAUCCUGUGCUCAGUCGGCGCAGGCAAAGCAGUGUUCCUAUGGAACAUGGAUAAGUACACCGUGAUGGGAAAGCUGGAGGGGCACCACAAUGAUGUGGUGUCUUGUGAGUUUUCACCGGAUGGGGCGCUAUUGGCCACCGCCUCUUAUGACACCCGGGUCAUCGUGUGGGACCACCACAAGGGCACCGUACUGCUGGAGCUGGGCCAUCUCUUCCCUGCUCCAUCACCCAUUUUUGCUGGAGGGGCAAAUGACCGCUGGGUUCGCUCUGUGAGCUUCUGCCCUGACGGCCGCCACAUUGCCAGCGUCACUGAUGACAGGCUGGUUCGUUUCUGGAGCAUCGAGGAAAGGGCUCCUCAGGCCAUCGCCUCUCUGUCCAAUGGCCUCUGCUGUGCCUUUUCCGCUGAAGGGAGUGUCCUUGCUGCUGGGACUCGUGACGGUGCUGUGCGCUUCUGGGAGUGUCCUCGCAGCGUUGGCAGUCUGCAGCACAUGAGCAGGAUGUCUCUCCGCCGGGUGAUGAGCACUCAGCAGGUGGAGGCCCUGGCCAUCCCCACGCCGCUCCGCGACUACCUGACCUACAAAGUCAUCUAACCCCACAGCACUAACUGUUCCUAUCAAAGCAUCAUCUGGCUAAAAAAAAAACCAAUGAAUUAUUUUCUGAAAAAUAAAACUGUUUUACACAGAACUUUGUUGAACAAACAAAAUCAACCAGGAAAGGAGGAACAGAGCCACCUGGGCUCAAACCCCCACCACCUCCUCUCACAGCAGGAUAUUCUGUUGCUUUUGUAAAUAUUUAUUUUUGUAAGUACUUUAGUGAAUGAGCGCGACGUACACCUUUUAAGGCCAGGUUAUUUUGGGGGCCUCCCGUCCCCUCCAUCACAUCGGUGUGGAACCUGUAAGUGUUCAGGCCUCUUCCAGCUGGCUCCAGCUCUCCACCAGGUUCAGUAAACCCUUCAUCUUUUCUUCUGGCUUGAAAUGGCUGUUGCACUUAAUGUGAGAAGCUUUGGCAGCGUUGCUUGCUCUUAACGUCAGGGUUUCUGUUUGGAAGUGGUUGAAAAACGAGAUGAAGCCGUUAUUGUUCUCUCUUAGGUUUGAACAUUUCUCAGUAUUCACACCAUCAUGGCACACUCGCAGUAGUUUUUUAUUUCCUAUACAGAGACAACAUUUGCCGUUCAGUGAUCCAACACAGUAUGUUAGCUAGUUUGAAUUUAAUUGCUGCUGUUUGGUCGCACCAUAAUCAGGCACAGUGAGAAUGCUCAAUUUGAAGCAGCACCAGAAGCUAGCUAUCAAACUAGCUACUUCAGUCCUGAGCCAGAGUGAGAAAUGGUUCAGGCAGAUAAUUUGGCACAUAUUGGGUCAUUGCAGAUAUAUUGGCAUUGCUGUAUAUGUCAGCUGGUAAAUGACAAGAAAUUUAAGUACAGAAAUGGCAAAGAUAUUUUUUGGGAAACUGUU